CUCCUUCACUUCUGGAAAAGAGACCUGUUGCAAUGAGGUGGCAUAGAAACCGCUUUGACAUGUCUGCUGAAAGUGCUUUAAGAUUAUUAAUUUUUGUCAGCUGCAAUUACAUUCUCAGAGGGAAGAUCAGCUUGUCGAUGAACAAUAUCAACUGUGCCAAGAAUACCAUCAAAGUCCAUAGUUACCAAGAGGACUUUAUUUCCAGGUCAUCAAUAUAACAUGAUUUAUGAUCAUCUGAUAACACAAUGCUGAACCAACUUUUUACACAGCACACUGGUUAAAAAUGGCCCUCUAAAUACAUGAUUACUGAUUAUGGGCAUUGAUUAAGAAUAUCAUAGCUAUUGACCAUAAAUAAGAAGGCUGUUUUAGUUUGAGUGGGGAUGUAACUCUUUUCUAGUUUCAUUCCUGAAAGGCAGUAAAAAAUAUUUUUAGCAAAUUUCUUUCUGCUGCAUGAAGUUUCAAAUCUGUAUGAACAAUUCUGUUUUCUCGGAAGAAAAUGCUGGGUUUUGUACUAA
rnacentral:lncRNA from 11 species